rnacentral:rRNA from 1 species
UGGGGAAUCUUGGACAAUGGGCGCAAGCCUGAUCCAGCCAUGCCGCGUGAGUGAAGAAGGCCUUCGGGUUGUAAAGCUCUUUUACCAGGGACGAUAAUGACGGUACCUGGAGAAUAAGCCCCGGCAAACUUCGUGCCAGCAGCCGCGGUAAUACGAAGGGGGCUAGCGUUGUUCGGAAUUACUGGGCGUAAAGCGCACGUAGGCGGAUUGUUAAGUCAGAGGUGAAAUCCCGGAGCUCAACUUCGGAACUGCCUUUGAUACUGGCAAUCUCGAGUCCGGAAGAGGUUAGUGGAAUUCCCAGUGUAGAGGUGAAAUUCGUAGAUAUUGGGAAGAACACCAGUGGCGAAGGCGGCUAACUGGUCCGGUACUGACGCUGAGGUGCGAAAGCGUGGGGAGCAAACAGGAUUAGAUACCCGAGUAGUCCCUGAGCGGGCUGGCAAGGCGCAU